rnacentral:lncRNA from 1 species
GUCGAUCAGCCAGUAGGCCCCCGCCGGAUAGGCGGAAGGAGAGAGAGAGUGGGGGUGCGACUGAGCUGGAGGUGGAGGUGGAGGUGGAGGCGGAGGCGAAGGGGUGUGGAGUUAAGGCUGAUUGGGGGACUGGGCGAGCGAGCAGCCUCCACCGGGGGACGAGCGGCGUCCAACGGCGGCGUCGACGGCAAGAGGCUGAGCGGCGAGGCGAGCGAGGGGUGACGGCGUCCAGCGGCGGUGUCGAGGGAGGUCGGGCGACGGCGGCGCGACGGCGACGAAGACACGAGUCUCACGGCACCAACAGCGACACGGACGGCUCGUCGGACGAGCGGUGGGUGGUGGUGAGUAGGGCGUGGGGCGGCGGUGUGGUGGUGGGUGAAGCAGCAGCCAGCAAGAGGAAGGAAGAAGAAGAAGAAGAAGAGGAGGAGAAGGGGUGGGGUUUCGGCCGAGAGAGGGGGAAAGAGAAGAGAGAGAGAGAGAGAGAAGAAAAGGAAAAACGAGACUCACCUCAGUGUCCGGCGGCGGCGAAGCUGGUUGCUGCGAAGAGAGAGAGACGGAAAAAGGUCCGGCGACGGCGA